rnacentral:rRNA from 1 species
AGAGUUUGAUCCUGGCUCAGAUUGAACGCUGGCGGCAUGCUUUACACAUGCAAGUCGGACGGCAGCACAGAGAAGCUUGCUUCUUGGGUGGCGAGUGGCGAACGGGUGAGUAAUAUAUCGGAACGUACCGAGUAAUGGGGGAUAACUAAUCGAAAGAUUAGCUAAUACCGCAUAUUCUCUGAGGAGGAAAGCAGGGGACCUUCGGGCCUUGCGUUAUUCGAGCGGCCGAUAUCUGAUUAGCUAGUUGGUGGGGUAAAGGCCUACCAAGGCGACGAUCAGUAGCGGGUCUGAGAGGAUGAUCCGCCACACUGGGACUGAGACACGGCCCAGACUCCUACGGGAGGCAGCAGUGGGGAAUUUUGGACAAUGGGCGCAAGCCUGAUCCAGCCAUGCCGCGUGUCUGAAGAAGGCCUUCGGGUUGUAAAGGACUUUUGUCAGGGAAGAAAAGGAUAGGGUUAAUACCCCUGUCUGAUGACGGUACCUGAAGAAUAAGCACCGGCUAACUACGUGCCAGCAGCCGCGGUAAUACGUAGGGUGCGAGCGUUAAUCGGAAUUACUGGGCGUAAAGCGAGCGCAGACGGUUACUUAAGCAGGAUGUGAAAUCCCCGGGCUCAACCUGGGAACUGCGUUCUGAACUGGGUGACUAGAGUGUGUCAGAGGGAGGUAGAAUUCCACGUGUAGCAGUGAAAUGCGUAGAGAUGUGGAGGAAUACCGAUGGCGAAGGCAGCCUCCUGGGAUAACACUGACGUUCAUGCUCGAAAGCGUGGGUAGCAAACAGGAUUAGAUACCCUGGUAGUCCACGCCCUAAACGAUGUCAAUUAGCUGUUGGGCAACUUGAUUGCUUAGUAGCGUAGCUAACGCGUGAAAUUGACCGCCUGGGGAGUACGGUCGCAAGAUUAAAACUCAAAGGAAUUGACGGGGACCCGCACAAGCGGUGGAGCAUGUGGUUUAAUUCGA